rnacentral:rRNA from 1 species
GACGAACGCUGGCGGCGUGCUUAACACAUGCAAGUCGAACGGAAAGGCCCUGCUGUUGUGGGGUGCUCGAGGGGCGAACGGGUGAGUAACACGUGAGUAACCUGCCCUUCACUUUGGGAUAACUUCAAGAAACUGGGGCUAAUACCGGAUAGGAGCUCCUGCUGCAGGGUGGGGGUUGGAAAGUUUCGGCGGUUGGGGAUGGACUCGCGGCUUAUCAGCUUGUUGGUGGGGUAGUGGCUUACCAAGGCUUUGACGGGUAGCCGGCCUGAGAGGGUGACCGGCCACAUUGGGACUGAGAUACGGCCCAGCCUCCUACGGGAGGCAGCAGUGGGGAAUAUUGCACAAUGGGCGGAAGCCUGAUGCAGCAACGCCGCGUGCGGGAUGACGGCCUUCGGGUUGUAACCCGCUUUCGCAUGUGACGAAGCGUGAGUGACGGUAAUGGGUAAAGAAGCACCGGCUAACUACGUG